rnacentral:rRNA from 1 species
UACGUAGGGGGGCAAGCGUUGUCCGGAAUCAUUGGGCGUAAAGAGCGUGUAGGCGGCCCGGUAAGUCCGCUGUGAAAGUCCAGGGCUCAACCCUGGAAUGCCGGUGGAAACUGUCGGGCUAGAGUCCGGAAGAGGCGAGUGGAAUUCCUGGUGUAGCGGUGAAAUGCGCAGAUAUCAGGAGGAACACCAAUGGCGAAGGCAGCUCGCUGGGACGGUACUGACGCUGAGACGCGAAAGCGUGGGGAGCGAACGGG